AAAUUAUUUUAUAUGUGAAGGGGGAGCCUGUCCUUUAUGGUGUCCCAAACUGAGUUUUGACACGGUCAGCCUGCAAAUUGAGCUAAAACUGGUUUGCCUGUUCCAAUAGGCCAGCUGGUAAAAGUCCAGCUCCAACAGGCGCUGGAGAGGAAUCUCAACAAGUGAACAUGCUUUUAACACACCCUGCUCCAUCAUUCAUGAGGACCUGUUGCAGAACAAGCCAUUGUGCUCUCCAGAAGUGCUGGCUGGAGCACACCAGCCACUUCCCAGUCUCCACCACCACCCUCUGCUCUGAAACAGAGAAACAAACCUGAGGAGCAGCUUGUGAGCCUCUGUCUCAUGUACAGCUGUGACCUGACUGAACAGGACAAUUCAGUCCUGUUAAAAAACCUUAAAUAGCAGCAUCUAUGGUGCUGUGAUGGAUAAAUCUCCUUGCAGAGGGUUCACCCUUGAUCAGAGCAGGUCAGCCAUGACCAUCAUGGAAAAUUGCUGUCCUGGGAGGACAGUGAGGACUCCAAAAUGCUGGUGGGAGAAAAGAGGGACCUUGAAUCCCCUGGCCCCUAUGGAUUAAUACAAAUUGGUUUUCCCUGCAAGUACACUGGGUCACCUCAGGGGACCACAACAGCUCUCUGAAGUUGAACUGGCUGAGCCCAGGGGCUAAAAUCCUCCUGGGCUGGCAGGCAGCUCAUCCCUCAGGGAGUAACAGCUUCAUGUCAUUCCCUCCUGGGUAUGGAGAGCUAGCAUGGGUUUCUCUCAUAGGACAGGGUGGGAGCACUGAUGUGGGCUGUAUGGGAAGCAGAAAGAAUACAGAGGGACUGCUUGGAUAAACAGGAGGGAAAAGCCUUUUUCCAGUGCCCUGCAGGUGCUGUGCUCCCUUGGCAGAGGCAGGACAUCUCUGCCAGCUCUUCACCAUCUGCUCCUCUGCUCCUCCACCAACCCAGCCAACAUGCAGUGCAAGGAUGUCUUUGGAUUUCACCCAUGCCAAAAAACCACUCCAAAACCCAAAUCAAAGUUCUGUAGGGCUGAUUUGCCCCCUUGACUGGACCCCCAUGCCCUCCACAUCCCCUGCCCAGCUGGGCAGACCCCCAUGCCCUGUUGGCAGGCCCCACAGCUGUUUGCUUUGGGGUGAAGAGCACAGCACUGCUGGAAACCCCCAAGGGGAAGGAGACCAAACCAAUCUCUGGGUCAUAGAAAAUGGGAAGAUGUGACCAACAAUUCCAGGAGAAGACAGGAACAUUUCAAAGUGAACAGCAGUGCACAGCACCAGCCCAAAUGACUUUCUUUAGCCUGGUGGCUGCGUUGAGUCAUUUAUCAUAUUCUGA